AUUGAACGCUGGCGGCAGGCCUAACACAUGCAAGUCGAGCGGAUGAGUGGAGCUUGCUCCAUGAUUCAGCGGCGGACGGGUGAGUAAUGCCUAGGAAUCUGCCUGGUAGUGGGGGACAACGUUUCGAAAGGAACGCUAAUACCGCAUACGUCCUACGGGAGAAAGCAGGGGACCUUCGGGCCUUGCGCUAUCAGAUGAGCCUAGGUCGGAUUAGCUAGUAGGUGAGGUAAUGGCUCACCUAGGCGACGAUCCGUAACUGGUCUGAGAGGAUGAUCAGUCACACUGGAACUGAGACACGGUCCAGACUCCUACGGGAGGCAGCAGUGGGGAAUAUUGGACAAUGGGCGAAAGCCUGAUCAGCCAUGCCGCGUGUGUGAAGAAGGUCUUACGGAUUGUAAAGCACUUUAAGUUGGGAGGAAGGCAGUAAGUUAAUACCUUGCUGUUUUGACGUUACCAACAGAAUAAGCACCGG
rnacentral:rRNA from 1 species